rnacentral:rRNA from 1 species
AAUGGGCGGAAGCCUGACGCAGCGACGCCGCGUGGGGGAUGACGGCCUUCGGGUUGUAAACCUCUUUCGCCACCGACGAAGCGUUUGUGACGGUAGGUGGAGAAGAAGCACCGGCCAACUACGUGCCAGCAGCCGCGGUAACACGUAGGGUGCGAGCGUUGUCCGGAAUUAUUGGGCGUAAAGAGCUCGUAGGCGGUGUGUCGCGUCGGCCGUGAAAACUUGCAGCUUAACUGUGGGCGUGCGGUCGAUACGGGCAUCACUGGAGUUCGGCAGGGGAGACUGGAAUUCCUGGUGUAGCGGUGAAAUGCGCAGAUAUCAGGAGGAACACCGGUGGCGAAGGCGGGUCUCUGGGCCGAUACUGACGCUGAGGAGCGAAAGCGUGGGGAGCGAACAGGAUUAGAUACCCUGGUAGUCCACGCCGUAAACGUUGGGCGCUAGGUGUGGGGACCAUUCCACGGUUUCUGUGCCGUAGCUAACGCAUUAAGCGCCCCGCCUGGGGAGUACGGCCGCAAGGCUA